GGGAAGGAUAACCUGAAACACAUAGAAUAAAUCAAGAACAAGUCUAAAUUUAAUUACAAUAAUUAUAACAGAAGGAUCAAGACAAUUGAUAGAAAUAUAAAACAAAUAAGUUCAAAAUUAAUAGAAUAAUAAAAGCAAUCGAUUGAAAAUAAGGAAUCAAACAGCAAGCGAGGAAUCAUUAAGAUGCAGAGCAACAAGCUUUCUUGGUGUUUAUCUCCUCUGCACCAACAACAAGAGUCUUCCCUUCUUUAAUGUUAGCAGGUGCAGG
rnacentral:misc_RNA from 1 species